UGUCUCAGUCUUGGUUCUCCAGCUGAUGGUGAUGGUGGUCUCCGUAGCAUCAGUCACACGGGCCCUUCUUGGAGGGCUGACAUCUGCACAAAUCACAACUGGAGAUUAGCGCCCGGCUGACUCAUUUAGAUAUUACCAGUGGUUUCUGAGUCUGACUUUACAGUAUCUACAAAUAUCUUAGUACAGCAGAAGUCUAUGUGUCUAGCCUCCACAGAUUUAUGAAGACAAUUUCCAACAACUAAAGCAUAAACUAAAUGUAAGUCCUAGUUCAUAACACUAACAUUAUCACAUUUUGAAGUGAUUCCAUUUAUGUGCCAGUACACCACUUUCUGGAGGGCAUAAAAGGUGACUGUAGGCAGUCAAAAAGAUGGGCAAGCAAAUCAGUUUCCAUAUUGCGAAUGCUUCUGUGAAUUUGGUGAUCUAGAAAAUCAUUUACCAUUCUUUCAUUUUUGCUUAUGCAGAAUAUCUGUCGACAUUAAAAUGCCUGAUUACUCACUCUCCAGAGUAGUGACGACUCCCUGAGCUGGUCUGCUUGUCAAACUGUCCUUAAGGGCAUAGACGCUCACUUCAUAUUUGGUGGCGACCUAGAAAGGAGGACACGGUAAGUUUUAGUAACGUGAUCUACUGAAACCGAGGCAUUUUCACUACAGCAUUAGAAAAGCACAAUGGUUAUAAAAGAAAAAAUAAACUAGCAAAACCCACAGUGCCAUAAAUUCCUAGAUGAGUUUUAUUCCCACACUGCAGAUGAUCAACAGGACGUGUUAAUUACAUGAAUUUAAAAAUGUGCUUAGGGGUCAACACCAGGUAAGCUUUAACUUACAUACUUACACUGAUACAAAGCUGAUACAAAGUGGGGAAAGCAGGUAUUGUCCUGUUUUUCUCCUUUAUGAUCUGACAGGUGCCAAUCGUGAAUUUUUCUGACCACCGAGAGGCAGAAAGAACACUCUACUCUAUCUCAGAACCCUCUUUCUGUCAUUUCUCCUGAAACUGGCCUUAUGUUAAGAAGUCCAUCCAUAUCCUAGACUCCUGGCUAGUUUUCCACAUGCUUAUCUAGAAGGAUUAAAAAUGUUUCAAUGAAGGGAGAGUCAGGCUGGAUUGGUACACACUGGAGAAUACUCCUUGCCAAGAUAAAAGAGCUCAAAAAAUGCAUAACCAAAAUGGAUUUAUGCAUUCAGCCUAUGGAUAUAUGAAUUGCCCCCCUCAACACACACAUACACACAUACAAUCUUUUAAAAUAAACAGAAUACAUUUAAAGAGCUGUGCAAUAUCCAAAGCUGUUUAUAAAAUUCUGUCCGAGAGAGUCAUCUGGAAAAGCUUACAUCACUAUAGAUAAUUCAGAUACAGAAUUACAAGAAAAUUAUUUGGUGGCAGAGGCACCAAAACACAAUAGAUUUAUUAUGAUAUUUUAUCUCCACCACCUUAAAAUGUGUAAGAGAUGAUUACAAUUGAUCCUUGUACAAUGCAGGGGUUAGGGGUGCCAACCCCCCUGCCCAGUUGAAAAUCUGUUUAUAACCUUUGACUGCCCCCCAAACUUGACUAGUAAUAGCCCCCUAUGGACCAGAAGCCUUACUGAUAAGCAGCUGAUCACCACAUAUUUUUGUAUGGUAUUUGCAUUAUAUACUG